AAAACGAUAAUACGGUUGUAUUGGAAACAAAGGAAUCUAAGGUAAUCAAAUGCAGAAAACAGGGUGGUUGCACUCAUAUCGGUGCCAAGGUGCACAGCGCUUUAAGGAAAGACUACCUGGCCAGGUCUACCCAUACCAGGAUGGCAAACAGAUGGUGUCAAUACCAAUUUGACCCAUAAAAAACAACAGAGACAAAUUCUCUAAUACCAAGGUCAAUGCAUUUGACUGCUGUCCAGCCCCGGGUUGCCACCGACUGGACUGGAAGAUGGUGUGCUAGUAAGGAAGCUAGCUACCACAGCUUUUGCCACCCCAUCUCAGUGUUGGGAGGGAAGUUCACUCACUGCACAACUCUACCAGCUGUACCUUUCUUUCUCAGCCAUGAUCCGUAACCACCAUGGUUUUCUUUCUGGGCCAGAAGACUUUGCAAACAAAUAAGCAAUAAAUGAUCAUGCAUUUAAAUUUA